rnacentral:rRNA from 1 species
UGAGGAAUACUGGUCAAUGGGCGACAGCCUGAACCAGCCAUCCCGCGUGAAGGAAGAAAGCGCUAUGCGUUGUAAACUUCUUUUCCAGAGGGAUAAAAUGAUGUACGCGUACAUUACUGAAGGUACUCUGGGAAUAAGCAUCGGCUAACUCCGUGCCAGCAGCCGCGGUAAUACGGAGGAUGCGAGCGUUAUCCGGAUUUAUUGGGUUUAAAGGGUGCGUAGGCGGGACAAUAAGUCAGUGGUGAAAACCUGCAGCUUAACUGUAGACUUGCCGUUGAUACUGUUGUUCUUGAGUAUGGUCAAGGCAGGCGGAAUGUGUAAUGUAGCGGUGAAAUGCUUAGAUAUUACACAGAACACCGAUAGCGAAGGCAGCUUGCUGGGCCGUUACUGACGCUGAUGCACGAAAGCGUGGGGAUCGAACAG